UCCCUAGUAGCUCCGAUGGUAAAGCUUCUGCCUGCAAUGCAGGAGACCCAGGUUCGAUCCCUGGGUCAGGAA
rnacentral:tRNA from 1 species